rnacentral:lncRNA from 1 species
ACUUACGGUUCUGCUUGUUGCAAGCUAAACCUUCUUUCUUUCUCUCUCUUUUUUUGCUUUUUGUUUUUUCGGGCCAAACCCACAGCAUAUGGAGGUUCCCAGGCUGGGGGUCCAAUCGAAGCUGUAGCUGCUGGCCUACGCCAGAGCCACAGCAACUCGGGAUCCGAGCCGCAUCUGCGACCUACACCACAGCUCAUGGCAACACCGGAUCCUUAACCCACUGAGCAAGGCCAGCGACCGAACCCACAACCUCAUGGUUCCUAGUCAGAUUCCUUAACCACUGCGCCACGACGGGAACUCCCAGGUUACUUUUCAGGAAAGUCAACUGAGGCUGAGAGGAAGGGAAUAACUGCCUAACAGCCCACAGCUAGUGAGUGGUUAUGGCAGGUUGCAUGUCUCCUCCCCAGAGUUCUCCACAUCUUCAUCUUGGGACCCUGGGAAUAUGCUGCCUGGCAAAGGGGAAUUAAGGGUGCAGAUGGAAUUAAGGGUACUAAUCAGCUGACCUUGAGAUGGGGAGGGUCUCCUGAACUCUCUGGCUGGUCUCAAUGUAAUCAAAGGGCCCUCGUCAUAAACAAAAAGAGGCAGGUAAGAGAAUAAGUCUCGGACGGAGACUCCAGGGGCCAACGCUGGCGUUGGAAGGUGGAGGAAAGGGGCCAUGAGCCACUGGGCAGCCUCUAGAGGCUACAAAAGGCAACAGAACAGAUUCUUUCUCGAGCCCUGGAAAGACCACGGCUAUGAGACCCCUUCAGGGUCAGCCCCGUGAGGCCCAUUUUAGACUUGUGACCUCCACAACUGCGAGAUCAUGGUUAGUUGAGUGGCUGAGGUGGCUUCAGCGAAGCUUGACGUUUAUCUUACCUUUGAGAUCAGUUCCGCCUGCCCAGUGAGCAGGAAAUCAAAAACCGGGGGCACGUCUAGGUGUCUGGAGGCUGCAGCUCCUUUGGAUGGUCCAUAAGAUGUUACUGGAUAAUUUCCUGUCCUGGGACCACUUUGUGAAAUAAAAACUUCCCUCCAAAGGAGAGACUAUCUCCUAUUUCACUUAUAAAUCAAGUAAACUCCUGUUCUUUGACUUGAAGUAAAUAACCUCUCUCCUCCUCUCAGCAAAUGUCUUCCUCUUGGUCUCUGCUGUUGCCACCACCUUCUGAAAGUCAGAAAAAUAUUAAGCUCAUUUUUUUUUCCCUUUACUUUUUCUUUCUUUCUUUCUUUUUUUCUUUUUCUUUUUCUUUUCUUUCUUUUUUUUUUUUUUAAUGGGUCCACCUGCAUCACAUGAAGUUUCAGGGCCAGGGGUUGAAUUGUAUCUGUAUCAUCGGCCUACACCACAGCCACAGCAAGGCAGGAUCUGAGCUGCAUCUGCGGAAAGCUACACUGCAGCUUCUGGCAAUGCCAGAUUCUUAACACACUGAGCGAGGCCAGGGAUUGAACCCGCAUUCUCAUGGACGCCAUGUCAGGUUCUUAACCCGCAGAGCCAUCACAAAAACUCCCAAAUGUAUUAAAUAAAACCACAAAACCCCGUAAUACAGGAAACACUUUUAUGGAGCCCUUGCUAUGUGUAAGGAAACUUCAACAUGUUAGUUCUUGUAAUCCCCACACUGACUCUGUGUCAUUAGUCUUCUUCCCAUAUUGAGGCUAAAGGGAUGGAUGCUCAGAGAUGAUACAUAUUUUGCCCAAGAUCGCCCAGGACUGGAAGUGAGAGUCUUACCCACGUUGGUCUGAUGCUAGAGCUCUCUGUGUUUACACACCACACUGCUACUGCUUUCACCUCUGUUCUUGGACUUUCCAUCUAGAUUAUGAACCUUGGAAAAGAAACAAUUUACCUCUUAUUUAGAAAAUAGCAAAAGAAGGUGACUACAUAAUUUUAAAUAGUAAUUGUUGUAUACGUAUUUCAAUUUAAAACAGAACUGUGGAGGGAGUUCCCAUUGUGGCUCAACAGGUUAAGGACCUGACAUAGUGUCUUUGAGGACGUGGCUUCGAUCCCUGGCCUCGCUCAGUAGGUUACGGAUCUGGUGUUGCCAAAAACUAUGGCGCAGAUCAAAGGCGUGGCUCGGAUCUGGUGCUGCUGUGGUUGUGGCGUAGGCCUGCAGCUACAGCUCCAAUUCGACCUCUGGCCUGGGAACCUCCAUAUGCCGCAGGUGUGGCUGCAAAAAGAAAAAAAUAUAAAUAAGGACUGUGGAAUUUUCCUUGUUGGUCAUCUUAAGUGGGUACAGAUGACCAACAGGUCAUGUUAUAAACUAGAGACCCAUCCAAGGCCUUACAUAGAAUAGGGGCCAGAGUUGGAAUGAGGCCCCAGGAUUCCUACCUCUUAAUCUUGUGUUCUUUCUUCUACUACAAUACACAUCAUUCAAUUUAUGACCCGAAAAAAGGAGUUUUCAACAGUCUAAACCUAACAGUGUGAGGUCAGAUGAGAAGCAGAUGGUGACAAAGAACGCCUCCUCUCUGUACCUUCUUGUCACUCAGCACAACCCAUGGGGAUGUUUCUCUGUUUUGUUUAGCAUUCAGCAGUUCGUUCUGGAUUCCCAGAAAUGCUUAUUCAUUUCACCAGACCUGAGAGCCAGAUAUAGUUCGUGGGAGGACAUUUUAUUAAUUUUCCUUUAUUUCUUUGUCCCUGCUUAAUGUACAGUUUGAGAACAAGAAUGCUCAUCAGGUUGUAAUGCCUAACUGAAUAAAAAGCAGCACUCCAGACCGCUUUGGUUGAAAGCUUCUUAAUAUGUUUAUCUACUUAGCUUUUAAAUCUUUCCGUAUUUUCUUAUUCCUUCAAUACAGUUUUUGCAGGUACAGAGUCUAUUUCUCCUCAAAUCACCAACCGCACAAUUCAGCAAACCAAUUGUAUGUUUUGUUGGCCUGACUGUGGGUGAUCGAAUUACCCUUUGUUCCCCAUUCUCCUCCCUUGGUAUCGACCAGGAAGGAAAGUAGUCGGGAAAAGAGAGCACUCAAGAAUUCAGACAUUAAAAGUUCCCUGGUUAAAAAAGAAACAACAACAACAACAAAAACCAGAAAGAGUUUCCUGGUGGCUCAGUAGGUUAAGGAUCCAGCAUUGCUACUGCCGUGGCUCAUAUCCCUGCUGUGGUGCAUGUUUCAGGGCCAAAAAACCCAAACCAAACAUUAUAAAAAAGAGAGACAGAGAAUUCAGGGAGCUCCCGUUGAGGUUCAGUGGGUUACGAACCCAACUAGUAUCCGAGAGAAUGCAGGCUCAAUCCCUGGCCCUGCUCAGUGUGCUAGGGAUCUGGCAUUGCUGUGAGCUGUAGUUUAGGUCGUAGAUGUGGCUUGGAUCCUGCGUGGCUGUGGCUGUAGGGCAGGCUGGCAGCUGCAACUCUGAUAUAACUCUUAGCCUGGGAACUUCCAUAUGCCUCGGGUGCAGCCUUAUAAAGAAAAAAAAAAAAA